UACGUAGGGGGCAAGCGUUAUCCGGAUUUACUGGGUGUAAAGGGAGCGCAGGCGGCGCGGCAAGUCUGAUGUGAAAGCCCGGGGCCCAACCCCGGGACUGCACUGGAAACUGCCGUGCUGGAGUGUCGGAGGGGUAAGCGGAAUUCCUGGUGUAGCGGUGAAAUGCGUAGAUAUCAGGAGGAACACCGGUGGCGAAGGCGGCUUACUGGACGAUGACUGACGCUGAGGCUCGAAAGCGUGGGGAGCAAACAGG
rnacentral:rRNA from 1 species